AAUGAACGCUGGCGGCAUGCCUUACACAUGCCAGUCGAACGGCAGCAUGACCUAGCUUGCUAGGUUGAUGGCGAGUGGCGCACGGGUGAGUAAUGCAUCGGAACGUGCCUUUUAGUGGGGGAUAACGUAGCGAAAGUUACGCUAAUACCGCAUAUUCUCUGAGGAGGAAAGCAGGGGACCUUCGGGCCUUGCGCUAGAAGAGCGGCCGAUGUCGGAUUAGCUAGUUGGUGAGGUAAAGGCUCACCAAGGCAACGAUCCGUAGCGGGUCUGAGAGGAUGAUCCGCCACACUGGGACUGAGACACGGCCCAGACUCCUACGGGAGGCAGCAGUGGGGAAUUUUGGACAAUGGGCGCAAGCCUGAUCCAGCCAUGCCGCGUGAGUGAAGAAGGCCUUCGGGUUGUAAAGCUCUUUCGGCUGGGAAGAAAUCGAACCCUCUAAUACAGGGUGUGGAUGACGGUACCAGCAGAAGAAGCACCGGCUAACUACGUG
rnacentral:rRNA from 1 species